GCAAGCUGUUCUGCUUUGCGAAGGGAAAUUGAUUUUUUUAGAAAAACACUCAGUCUAAUCAGUUGCAGCAUGCGCACAUAACACAGCAGACCUCUGGCUCAAGUGAGGCAGUGCUGAAAGCUUAAAAAAUAAUUUAACCAAAAAAAAAAAUCUUGCUUUUUAAAAGACUUACUAUGAGAUUUUUGUUCUUGUAUUUUGAGGUUGCUGGUAUGUAGAAUUUCCAAGGUUAUUUGUAAAUAUCUAGCUUAAACAUAGUUGAUCUUUUUCCUGUAAUAAGUAUAUAUAUAUAUUUUUAAUGAACAAAGGGAGUGCCAUUUGUACAUAGCUUAGGAAUUGCAAACCCACAGAUUAGUCACAUUCUGAAAAAGAGAUAUGAUGUUUCUUCAAGUCUCUGCUAGGCAGUGGAACAGUCACUGCGUGCAGUAAUGGUUCAUGCCUGCAGGUAAGGACAAAAUGACUCACAAGUAUUUUUAAAGCAAUUAUUUUAUCUGUCAUUCAUAUGAUUACACCUGUAAGGAGAUGGUUCAUGAAAAUUACUGUUUUGCCUCAUAAGCAAAAUUAAGAUAUUUUUAUCUGCUGUAAAAAAUGAGACUCAAAGUUCCCUGUUUUGAUUCUGUGUUCACUUGUGCUUGUUGAUUGUGAGUAAGCAAUGUUUGCCAUUGAGGUUCUUAGGCAGGCAGUGAUGCUCACCUUCCUUUUGUUUAUCUCAGUAACUUAUACUUCAUGUUGACAACUGUAUUUAAGCCAUGUUGAUUUAUCUUUUUCUAAUUUUUAGGGCAUGUUGUUCAUAGACUGAAAAUUUAGGAAAAUAAUGUGGAAAAUUACUUGGUGGUAAAGAAAUGAUAACAGGAGAAAUAUUGUUAAAACCAAACCAGAAACUAGCUGAUCCUCCAUGACAAACUGAGUGCUAGUUUCAGGAGGCUGCUCUGAGGGCAGAGAGGUUUUACUGACUUUUAGCAUCAUUAGGUGUAAAGCCUGUGGUUACAACUUUGGUUACAAAUGAAGAUGUAGCUACAUUCUGUAGAGAUAAAAAAUCAAAAGUAAGAAGUUUUGUGCUUAUUUUUCUUGACCCUUGUAACUUCUGGUUUGUGGCUAGCCACCUGAUUUCAAUUUUGAUUCUGUUUGUUGAGCUACAAAAGGAAUCUUCAGCCUUGGGAAAACCUGCCAGAAAACUGGUGCUGAUGGGAGCAGUAGACACAGGGACGUGCACCGUGAGCUGCCCAAGCAUCAGCUGAGGUGUUGGAGUUUUGAACUAGCAGUGUACUGAAUGAGAGGACCGCAGUAGUGAUGCGUCCUUCUGGGGUAGUGUGAGUUCUUUACUGGUAAACUGACGGCUGAGCACAGAAGAUGAAUGUCUCUUAAAAACAAGUUAAUUUUUUUCUGACUAAACUCAUUCUAUGGAAACAUAUUCUCAAGUGUUUUCAUGAUUUUACAUACUUAGGCUCUUGUGGUC
rnacentral:lncRNA from 1 species